CCUUCAGGGCUUCCUUCAUGACCUCUUCCUCCAACACAGGAAGUCCAUAACCCCUGAGAAACUGGAGGAGUACACUGACACCAUGAUGAAGAUGUUCGACAGAAACAGGGAUGGCAGGCUGGACUUAAAUGACCUGGCCAGAAUAUUGGCCCUGAAAGAGAAUUUCUUACUCAAGUUUAAGAUGGAUGCUUGCAGUCAGGACGACAGAAAGAGAGACUUUGAGAAGAUUUUCGCUCACUAUGAUGUUGUAAG